AUUCCAGCUCCAAUAGCGUAUAUUAAAGUUGUUGCGGUUAAAAAGCUCGUAGUUGGAGUUCUGCCAGGUGCCACCUGUCCGCCCCAGUGGUGAGUACGUGGUGCGCAUUUGGCCCUUUCAAGGGGAGCGUAUUUGCACUUAAUUGUGUGGUGCGGGAUCCUUGACUUUUACUUUGAGGAAAUAAGAGUGUUCCAAGCAGGCUCUCGUCGUGCAUAGCUCAGCAUGGAAUAAUAGCAUUGGACCUCGAUUCUAAGCUGUUGGUUGCCAGAAGCGAGGUAAUGAUGAAGAGGGAUAGUUGGGGGCAUUCGUAUUCCGCCGAGAGAGGUGAAAUUCUCAGACCAGCGGAAGACGAACCACUGCGAAAGCAUUUGCCAGGGAUGUUUUCAUUG
rnacentral:rRNA from 1 species